GACGAACGCUGGCGGCGUGCUUAACACAUGCAAGUCGAACGGAAAGGCCCUGCUUUUGUGGGGUGCUCGAGUGGCGAACGGGUGAGUAACACGUGAGUAACCUGCCCUUGACUUUGGGAUAACUUCAGGAAACUGGGGCUAAUACCGGAUAGGAGCUCCUGCUGCAUGGUGGGGGUUGGAAAGUUUCGGCGGUUGGGGAUGGACUCGCGGCUUAUCAGCUUGUUGGUGGGGUAGUGGCUUACCAAGGCUUUGACGGGUAGCCGGCCUGAGAGGGUGACCGGCCACAUUGGGACUGAGAUACGGCCCAGACUCCUACGGGAGGCAGCAGUGGGGAAUAUUGCACAAUGGGCGGAAGCCUGAUGCGGCUACGCCGCGUGCGGGAUGACGGCCUUCGGGUUGUAAACCGCUUUCGCCUGUGACGAAGCGUGAGUGACGGUAAUGGGUAAAGAAGCACCGGCUAACUACGUG
rnacentral:rRNA from 1 species